rnacentral:lncRNA from 1 species
GGAGGACUCUGAGGAGGCCCCGAGCGGCGGAGCGCUUCGGGGGAGGCGCCCGCGCAGACGCGAGGCCCAUAGCCAGGACCACCACCUAGCUGGAAAAGAACUACAGCCUGUGUGGGUCCCCUCCCGACAAUUAAAAUUGCACCAUAACUCCAAAGAUGAAACGCUCCCAGAAAGAAAAGGCAAAGACCCAUCGGAAACAAAAGAGCAACUUUCACCGCCUGAUACAUACACUUCAUGACAUCCACAUUGAGACAAAAUCUCGCCGUGUGACCUACAACACCUCUCGUUCAACCCCACCUACUUGGGGUCGAAUACAGAUUUUAUCUCAUCAAACAGAAAAAUUCUUAACAGAAAAAGGAAUCCCAAAAAUGACUGGUAAUAUAAUUCUGGCUGCCUUUAUGGUAGUCAGUGCAGCGUCUGCAGAUGCCUCUAAGGAGUCCGAAACCAAGUCCGAAGUCAACAACAAGCAAUGAUGGCGAUGGCGAUUCUAGUUAAUAAAAAGGGGGGAGAUGUGGGCGGCAAGCCACCCAGGCACCGAGGCAAGAGACAGAGGACACGAGCUGUUCCAGUAUAAUAAAAUAUAAAACAAGAAUAGUUAUACCAGAUAUAGAUCUUAGAUAUGAUUAUAUACGAAUAUCAUUAAUCAUGAGUUUGUAGCAAUUACUUUUUAUUCCAAUAUUAUGAUAAUCCUCGCUCUAUAAUCAUAGCCUAGGAAAAACCAGGCCAUACAGAGAUAGGAGCUGAGGGGACAUAGUGAAGUGUGACCAGAAGACAAGAGUGCGAGCCUUCUGUUAUGCCCGGACAGGGCCACCAGAGGGCUCCUUGGUCUAGCGGUGACGCCAGCGUCUGGGAAGACACCCGUUACCAGGCGGAUCGUGGCCCAGCCGUAGCAAAAGGUGUCAAGGAACACCUUUUGCAAAAGGUGUCAACACCCGCUACUUAGCAGACUGGGAAAGGGGGGCGGUCUCCCUUUCCCCGGGGGAGUUUAGAGAAGACUCUGUUCCUCCACCUCUUGUGGAGGGCCUGACAUCAGUCAGGCUUGCCCGUAGUUAUCCGGAGGCCUAACUGUCUCCCUGUGAUGCUGUGCUUCAGUGGUCACGCUCCUAGUCUGCCUUCAUUUUCCAUCCUGUACACCUGGCUCUGCCUUCUAGAUAGCAGUAGUAAAUUAGUGAAAAUACUAAUAGUCCCUGAUAUGCAGAAAUAAUGGCAUAAGCUGUCUUUCUCUCUGUCUCCUCUCCCUCUCUGCCUCGGCUGCCAGGCAGGGAAGGGCCCCCUGUCCAGUGGACACAUGACCCAUGUGACCUUACCUAUCAUUGGAGGUGACUCACAUUCUUUACCCUGCCCCUUCUGCCUUGUAUCCAAUAACAGCGCAGUCAGACAUUCAGGGCCACUACCGGUCUCCGCACAUUGGUGGUAGUGGUCCCCCGGGCCCAGCUGCCUUUUCUCUUA